CCUACGGGGGGCAGCAGUGGGGAAUAUUGGACAAUGGGCGAAAGCCUGAUCCAGCCAUGCCGCGUGUGUGAAGAAGGCCUUCGGGUUGUAAAGCACUUUCAGUGGGGAAGAAAGCCUUGGGGCUAAUACCCUCGAGGAAGGACAUCACCCACAGAAGAAGCACCGGCUAACUCCGUGCCAGCAGCCGCGGUAAUACGGAGGGUGCGAGCGUUAAUCGGAAUUACUGGGCGUAAAGCGCGCGUAGGCGGUCUGAUAAGCCGGUUGUGAAAGCCCCGGGCUCAACCUGGGAACGGCAUCCGGAACUGUCAGGCUAGAGUGCAGGAGAGGGAGGUAGAGUUCCCGGUGUAGCGGUGAAAUGCGUAGAGAUCGGGAGGAAUACCAGUGGCGAAGGCGGGCUUCUGGACUGACACUGACGCUGAGGUGCGAAAGCGUGGGUAGCAAACAGGAUUAGAUACCCCAGUAGUC
rnacentral:rRNA from 1 species